rnacentral:rRNA from 1 species
UACGUAGGGUGCAAGCGUUAAUCGGAAUUACUGGGCGUAAAGCGUGCGCAGGCGGUUUUGUAAGUCUGACGUGAAAUCCCCGGGCUUAACCUGGGAAUUGCGUUGGAGACUGCAAGGCUAGAGUCUGGCAGAGGGGGGUAGAAUUCCACGUGUAGCAGUGAAAUGCGUAGAGAUGUGGAGGAACACCGAUGGCGAAGGCAGCCCCCUGGGUCAAGACUGACGCUCAUGCACGAAAGCGUGGGGAGCAAACGAGGAUUAG